rnacentral:rRNA from 1 species
AGGGCACCACCAGGAGUGGAGCCUGUGGCUUAAUUUGGCUCAACACGGGAAACCUCACCAGGCCCAGACACUAGAAGGAUUGACAGAUUGAGAGCUCUUUCUUGAUUUGGUGGAUGGUGGUGCAUGGCCGUUCUUAGUUGGUGGAGUGAUUUGUCUGGUUAAUUCCGAUAACGAACGAGACCCCAGCCUAUUAAAUAGGCAGCGGAUCAGAGCUUCCGCAUUGUCUUCUUAGAGGGACAAGGCAGCUUCAAGCUGCAUGAAACGGGGCAAUAACAGGUCUGUGAUGCCCUUAGAUGUUCUGGGCCGCACACGCGCUACAAUGAAAAAGGCAGCGUGUUUUCCUGGCUUGAUAGAGCUGGGUAACCCAAUCAAACUUUUUCAUGAUUGGGAUUGAGGUUUGCAAUUAUCCUUCAUGAACGAGGAAUUCCCAGUAAGUGCAAGUCAUAAGCUUGUGCUGACUACGUCCCUGCCCUUUGUACGCACCGCCCGUCGCUACUACCGAUUGAAUGAUUUAGUGAG